rnacentral:rRNA from 1 species
UACGAAGGGGGCUAGCGUUGUUCGGAUUUACUGGGCGUAAAGGGCGCGUAGGCGGCCACCGCAAGUCGGUUGUGAAUCUCCGGGCUUAACCCGGAAAGGUCAAUCGAUACUGCGGGGCUAGCAGUGCAGAAGGGGCAACUGGAAUUCUCGGUGUAGCGGUGAAAUGCGUAGAUAUCGAGAGGAACACCUGCGGCGAAGGCGGGUGCUGGGCUGACACUGACGCUGAAGCGCGAAAGCUAGGGGAGCGAACGGG